rnacentral:rRNA from 1 species
GGGAUAACACUUGGAAACAGGUGCUAAUACCGCAUAACCAUAGUUACCGCAUGGUAACUAUGUAAAAGGUGGCUAUGCUACCGCUUUUGGAUGGGCCCGCGGCGCAUUAGCUAGUUGGUGGGGUAAAGGCUUACCAAGGCAAUGAUGCGUAGCCGAACUGAGAGGUUGAUCGGCCACAUUGGGACUGAGACACGGCCCAAACUCCUACGGGAGGCAGCAGUAGGGAAUCUUCCACAAUGGGCGAAAGCCUGAUGGAGCAACGCCGCGUGGGUGAAGAAGGUCUUCGGAUCGUAAAACCCUGUUGUUAGAGAAGAAAGUGCGUGAGAGUAACUGUUCACGUUUCGACGGUAUCUAACCAGAAAGCCACGGCUAACUACGUGCCAGCAGCCGCGGUAAUACGUAGGUGGCAAGCGUUAUCCGGAUUUAUUGGGCGUAAAGGGAACGCAGGCGGUCUUUUAAGUCUGAUGUGAAAGCCUUCGGCUUAACCGGAGUAGUGCAUUGGAAACUGGGAGACUUGAGUGCAGAAGAGGAGAGUGGAACUCCAUGUGUAGCGGUGAAAUGCGUAGAUAUAUGGAAGAACACCAGUGGCGAGAGCGGCUCUCUGGUCUGUAACUGACGCUGAGGUUCGAAAGCGUGGGUAGCAAACAGGAUUAGAUACCCUGGUAGUCCACGCCGUAAAC